rnacentral:rRNA from 1 species
GGAGGAAUAUUGGUCAAUGGAGGCAACUCUGAACCAGCCAUGCCGCGUGAAGGAUGAAGGUCCUCUGGAUUGUAAACUUCUUUUAUAGAAGAAGAAACCCACGUUUUCUAAUGUGGUUGACGGUACUCUAUGAAUAAGCACCGGCUAACUCCGUGCCAGCAGCCGCGGUAAUACGGAGGGUGCAAGCGUUAUCCGGAUUCACUGGGUUUAAAGGGAGCGUAGGUGGGUUGAUAAGUCAGUGGUGAAAUCU